GUGAGAAGCUUAGUUGUUCUUAGUGCUCUGCUCACAACACAGCCACAGACGGCAUGGACGCCGGCUGAGACGCAACGCAGACAUGGAGGUCUGCUUUGCGGCGGUGGCGGCAAGCGAUAAUAUUUUUAUCAGAGCACUUAGAACAUCUUAGCUUCG
rnacentral:ncRNA from 1 species